UCUCCGUAGGUGAACCUGCGGAGGGAUCAUUACUGAGUGAGGGCUCACGCCCGACCUCCAACCCUGUGUGAACACAUCUUGUUGCUUCGGGGGCGACCCUGCCGUCCGCGGCUGAGCGCCCCCGGGGUCAAUCAAACACUGCAUCUUUGCGUCGGAGUUUAAGUAAAUUAAACAAAACUUUCAACAACGGAUCUCUUGGUUCUGGCAUCGAUGAAGAACGCCAGC
rnacentral:misc_RNA from 1 species